UUAAGCAUAUCAAUAAGCGGAGGAAAAGAAACUAACAAGGAUUCCCCUAGUAACGGCGAGUGAAGAGGGAAGAGCCCAAGAUUGAAAGCUGGCGCCUUCGGCGUCCGCAUUGUAAUCUCAAGAAGCAUUUUCCGCUUCGGACCAAGCCUAAGUCCCUUGGAAAAGGGCAUCGUAGAGGGUGAGAAUCCCGUACAUGGCUUGGAGCGCCCGAGGCUUUGUGAUAUGCAUUCUAAGAGUCGAGUUGUUUGGGAAUGCAGCUCAAAAUGGGUGGUAAAUGCCAUCUAAGGCUAAAUAUUGGGGAGAGACCGAUAGCGAACAAGUACCGUGAGGGAAAGAUGAAAAGAACUUUGAAAAGAGAGUUAAACAGUACGUGAAAUUGCCAAAAGGGAAGGGUAGGAGGUCAGAGAUGCGGCAUGGGAUUCAGCCUUGCUUUUGCUUGGUGUUUUUCCCAUUUUGCAGGCCAACGUCGGUUUUGGGCACUGGAGAAUGGUGGGAGGAAUGUGGCACUCUUCGGGGUGUGUUAUAGCCUCCUACUGGAUACAGCGACCGGGACCGAGGAACGCAGCGUACUCGAAAGAGCGGGCCUUCGGGCACCUUUACGCUUAGGGCGUUGGCAUAAUGACCCUCUACCACCC
rnacentral:rRNA from 1 species